UUUCAACAACCAAUCACUGACGAGCGUUGGGAGCAGCAGAUGCCUCUUCUUCAGUGGGCGCAAUUUUCUCGCAGUUUUAAGUAAUUUAGCAUUUUUUCUUGAGCGGACGUCGUCUCUCCUCGUCCGUAGGAGUUGGUGUAUGUGUUUUUAACCGCGCUCCACCCGCUGUGGGCUCGAAGGGGCUUGGGAUCGGGAGUGAAAUGCAUCCCCGGGGCGCUGAACCUGCUCCAUCCACCGCACAAAGCCUGUGAAGCAGGCCGUGUUUUCCUCCUUGGUCCAACGCGCUGACGAUGAGCAAACAUGUCGGGGAACCACUACAAAGGCCACGAAGUCAGCUGCUGCAUCAAGUACUUUAUUUUUGGAUUCAACAUCCUUUUCUGGCUCCUGGGCAUGGCCUUGGUUGGAAUUGGACUGUGGGCAUGGAGUGAGAAGGGUGUUCUGUCCAACAUCUCAUCCAUCACCGACCUGGGGGGCCUGGACCCGGUGUGGCUCUUCAUGGUGGUGGGAGGGGUCAUGUUCAUUUUGGGUUUUGCUGGUUGUAUCGGCGCACUGCGGGAGAAUACUUUCCUACUCAAGUUUUUUUCCGUGUUCCUGGGAAUCAUCUUCUUCUUGGAGUUGACAACCGGAGUCCUGGCGUUCGUCUUUAAGGAUUGGAUUAAAGAUCAGCUCAAUCUCUUCAUCAACAAUAACAUCCGCGCCUAUCGAGAUGACAUAGACCUACAGAACCUCAUCGACUUCACUCAGGAAUAUUGGGAGUGCUGUGGGGCUUUUGGAGCCGACGACUGGAACCUGAACAUUUACUUUAACUGCACCGACGGAAACCCCAGCCGAGAGCGGUGUGGAGUCCCCUUCUCCUGCUGCACCAAGGACCCUGCUGAGGAUGUAAUAAACACCCAGUGCGGAUAUGACAUUCGUGCUAAACCAGACUCGGAGCAGAAGGACUACAUAAAUGUGAAAGGAUGUGUACCUCAGUUUGAGAAGUGGCUGCAGGAAAACCUCACACUGGUGGCUGGGAUCUUCAUUGGAGUAGCAUUACUGCAGAUUUUUGGGAUCUGUUUGGCCCAAAACCUCGUGAGUGACAUAGAAGCAGUGCGGGCGAGCUGGGUGCCCCCCCCUCUCUCCAUGCGCCGACUCCCUCCUCACUACAGCAAGAAAGCGGCGGCAUACUACAAAUGAGACUAUUUCACUCAUGCUGUCUGUGAUACCGCCGCUUUUUUACCUAAGAAAGCAGCAUCCAGAUUCUGACAGCGACGGAUCACAGCGACUUCACAGAGCCAGCACCUUCUUACGAGCACUAAAGGGUCACACUAACACUUUUGUAUAUAACAUUGUGUGGCUUAUGUAAAAAGGUAAUCGUCACAGAUCAGUGCACUACAUUCAGACUGUCACUAUUGCUCUGUUUUGAUAGCUAUGUGUAAAAAUUAGCAGUUUUUUGAUACAUUUUUUGAUAUUAGAUCAGUAUUUUUCACUGCAACACAGCCUCGUCGCACAGGCUAUAAACUAGUUGUAUACAAGAAAUGUGUUUGCAAUGUUAAAGUGCUUGCAUUGUUCCACGCAUUAGCAGAAAUGAAGGGAAAACUAUGUCACGUUUGCAUCAUGGUGUAAAUUUAAUGAAGUGCAAGGGGACUAAAUAAUUAUGAAAUCAAAAUAACGUUUUGUAUAUGUGAAUGUGAAUGAACAUUUAGCCUAGACAGUGCUAAAAGUCGAUCGCAAUGUUCGCCGCACCCAGUUCCGUUGUGUUAUGUACAGCAGAGAUGCGACGCCAAGUGCUCACGAAGACUACUGAGAAUAUUAGUUGUAAAAUUGUUUGAAAAUUAAAAUGCCAAAAUAUAUUUCAGGGUGCAUUGUGUAGCUUUCUUGUGCUUGGAAAUGUUAUUGCUUUGUCUAGAACAAGAGUCUCCAACCUGUAGCUCGGGAGAUACCAGUAACUCUCCAGCCUCUUCCAAGGAGCUCGCCAAGGGAUUUCUGAAUUAUGCAUAUUGUGCUGAAUGGCUCAGAUUUGAUGAACUACAAUUGUGACUUCUAUUUACCCAGGAUAUUCCCAGUUUUGAGCCCUGUGUCCCCUGUCCCAGCAGAUUUAUCUAAAACCAGUGAUUUGUCCCAGUUUUAUACAAGAAAUGUCCCUAUUUUGACCAAUUUGAUCCCUGCCAGCAGUAAAGAGAGGCAUAAAUUGUCAUUUGUUCAGGUAAAAUACAGAAAAGCUGCUUAAAAAUGACCAAAACACAAAGAAAAUGUGACUAUACUGACUCACGUGUUAGUCAUGAAUGGGUGGGCGCAGUCUGAGUUUUGAGCCCUGUGUCCCCUGUCCCAGCAGAUCUAUCCAAAACCAUUGAUGUCGAAGUUUUACAUGAGAAAUGUCCCAGGUGUCCCUAUUUUUGACCAAUUUGAUCCCUGCCAAUAGUAAAGAGAGUCAUAAAUUGUCAUUUGUCCAGGUAAAAUACAGAAAAGCUGCUUAAAAAUCACCCAAACACAAAGAAAAUGUGAUCAUACUGACUCACAUGUUCGUCAUGAAUGAUCUCUACAUCAAGAUUUUCGUUUUAUUAUUACUAGUCACCAAAAAAAUGGGGAUGUCCCAGUUUUUUAUUUUGAAAAUCUGGUCACCCUAAUCUUUGUGCACUAAUACAUUUAUAAAUGUUAAUAUUUUAUAGUUAUAUAGACGGUUCCCCAUUUAAGGUUUUCCUAUGCUCAAUUUCUUGGGACUGCUAAAAUAAGUCACUUUUUGGCGUUUUCUUUUUGUUAAAGUAGCUCACCAGAAGAAAAAGGGUGGAGACACCUGGUCUAGAAUGUCCCUUGUUAAACUCAUCCAUCUACAAAAAACAACAAAGAUAACAGAGUUUAAUUACAAACUUUCAGGCAAAACAAUAAUAUCUCCAUGGAAAAGAGUUUGGUGACGCAGAAAAGUUACACAGUGCACCUUUAAUAAAGCUAUAAAAUUCAUGCAAAGCGUCGCAUUCAAUCUUAAAACAGUUUUCUAAUGAUGCAAAGGAAAUUAAAUUCAAUAUAAAAUUAUGAACAGAUGUUUUUAUGUGUGUUGGGUCCAUGUACCAGAGGUGGGGAUUUGCAAGUCGUGACUUGGACUCGAGUCAGACUUGAGUCACUAUUUUUAGGACUUGAGACUUGAUUUGAUAAAAUAGACAAAGAUUUGGGACUUGACUUGGACUUGAAGGUCAGUGACUUGAGAAGACUUGAUGUUUAGACUAGUUGACAAAUUAACAGUUAUUAAACACUCUUAAAUCUUAAUUCUUUCUGUUCUGGCUGUAAUAAUUCACACUUUUGUCAAGACAUUUAAAAAGGAAAAAAUAACUCUUAUAUAAAUACUCAUGUACCGUGACUUUUUAAGUACAAUUUAGUUUAAAAAUUAUAUAAACAUCAAAAAUCUAACGCUAAGCUAUAUUUGGUACUUUGGUUUAAAGACUUGAAAUGAAUUGAAGCUCAAAGCAGACGACUUGGACUUGACUUGGACUUAUGGGCCAGUGACUCGAGACUUGACUUGGACUUGCCUGUUUUUGACUUGGGACUUGACUUGGACUUGAGGUCAAAGACUUGAGACUUACUUGAGAUUUGUAGAACAACGACUUGGUCCCACCUCUGGCGUGUACCAUUUGUUUUUUUGAAUUUCACUUAAAAACAAAAAACAAUAAAAUGGAAAAGCAAUUUGUUAUUUUUUUAUUCCAUUUUAGUGUCAACCUCUACCUGACCUUUCCAGUAUUUAAUUUAAAGUUUAUUUCUAAUAACACCAAUCAAAAACAGUUAUCGUGCCUACCGGUAUUUCAGUUUUGAUAUUUUAUUCUCUUCUAGCAGCAAAACUAAACAUAAACAAAAUAAAAGAAUAAAAUAUCAAAACUGAAAUAACCACUGAGACUGUUGGUGUUAAAUAUUGGAAACAGAGGUCGAAAUUAGUUUAUUUAAUUUUAUUUUUUUGACACUAAAGCGGAAUAAUUAAAUAAACGGUUUUCCCAUUUUAUUGUUUUUCCUUCUUAAUUAAAAUCCAAAAGAACGAAUAUUAGACGAACCAUUUUGAAGUAUUCUCAUCUUCUUGCCUGACCAGCCACGAGUAUUUUUGCAAAACAGUAUUCACUUGUGGAUUUUGAAUUGGACCACACUGAAAAAAAAUGAAAAAGCACUUACUUGAAUCAUCACCGUGUCUUCAAAUAUUUGUUUACAAUUGAAGUAAAUACAAUAAGUACUCGAGUAAGUGUUAAAAAUGUCCCUGUUUACAUAAUGCAUCCUACAGCGUGUGCGUAUUAAGAUGGCUUUUGAUACUUUUGUUUGUACACUGGACUGGGUUUUAUACAGUAACUUUAUGUACUACUGAUUUGAAGGCUACUGUCAUAAAAGUAUAAAAACCUGCACUCAUCAUUGUACCAUUUCUAUCGAUUGUACUCCACAUCGUCAUGUUCUACCUCCUCGUCUCCUCUCAUCCGGAUGCAUUUGAAUAUCGAGUCAUAUUAAUUAAUAAAGGUAACAAAAGUGUGA